rnacentral:rRNA from 1 species
AUUGAACGCUGGCGGCAUGCCUUACACAUGCAAGUCGAACGGUAACAGGUCUUUGGAUGCUGACGAGUGGCGAACGGGUGAGUAAUACAUCGGAACGUGCCCGAUCGUGGGGGAUAACGAAGCGAAAGCUUUGCUAAUACCGCAUAAGAUCUACGGAUGAAAGCAGGGGGACCGCAAGGCCUUGCGCGAACGGAGCGGCCGAUGGCAGAUUAGGUAGUUGGUGGGAUAAAAGCUUACCAAGCCAACGAUCUGUAGCUGGUCUGAGAGGACGACCAGCCACACUGGAACUGAGACACGGUCCAGACUCCUACGGGAGGCAGCAGUGGGGAAUUUUGGACAAUGGGGAAACCCUGAUCCAGCCAUGCCGCGUGAGUGAAGAAGGCC